UACAGGGGGGGCAAGCGUUGUUCGGAAUUACUGGGCGUAAAGGGCCAGUAGGCGGCCAACUAAGUCCGACGUGAAAUCCCCAGGCUUAACCUGGGAACUGCGUCGGAUACUGGAUGGCUUGAAUUCGGGAGAGGGAUGCAGAAUUCCAGGUGUAGCGGUGAAAUGCGUAGAUAUCAGGAAGAACACCCGUGGCGAAGGCGGCUCUCUGGUACGUGACUGACGCUGAGACGCGGAAAGCGUGGGGAGCAAACAGG
rnacentral:rRNA from 1 species